GUCCAAUUAGAGGUGGCCUCUAGUUGCUUUAUAUCUUUCUUGCUUUACCCUAGCUUCACAUAAUCUUUCUUUCCCCCACAAUUGAAAUGGCUUUGCAGUUUGAAUGUCCUUUCCUGAAUCAGAAAACCCACUUAGCUCAAUAAAAAAGGGGGAUGGUUAGGAUAUGGAUAGACAUUGACAUUCUUCAGCGUUCUUCUUGUGAUUUCUUUGAUAAUUCAAAUUGACAUUUCCAUUGCAGUGGCUGGUGUCUCUGUCAUUUGAAUUGAAGUUUAACGGUAAAGAUGAGUGAUGAGAGCACGAGAAUUGUCAUUUUCUUGUAUUUGGUACACAGUGUCUUUUGUCCACAGUUUAAAACUCCAUUCUGAUUUAAGA
rnacentral:misc_RNA from 1 species